AUAAGUACUUGAAAAGAAUUAGUAAGCGUAGAGGCUUUUUCAGAAACUAUACGGGCAAUGUGAGUAUAGAUUGGUUUUACGCUGAACUCAUCUUUUUAAAUUUUACUGAUGAAAAUAGUAGUUGGUAACGUGAUUUCGCGUUAAGAAAUGAAGAGUUCGACUGAAUUAAUCAAUCGUAAAUAUAGGUGGUACCGCGGAAAUUUUCGUCCUAUAA
rnacentral:ncRNA from 1 species